rnacentral:rRNA from 1 species
UACGGAGGGUGCGAGCGUUGUCCGGAAUCACUGGGCGUAAAGGGCGCGUAGGCGGCCUGGCAAGUCUGUGGUGAAAGCUCGUGGCUCAACUACGAGUCGGCCAUAGAUACUGCGAGGCUUGAGCACUGUAGAGGCAGAUGGAAUUCCGGGUGUAGCGGUGGAAUGCGUAGAGAUCCGGAAGAACACCGGUGGCGAAGGCGGUCUGCUGGGCAGUAGCUGACGCUGAGGCGCGACAGCGUGGGGAG